rnacentral:rRNA from 1 species
CCUAGUAACGGCGAGUGAAGCGGCAACAGCUCAAAUUUGAAAUCUGGCUCUUUUAGGGUCCGAGUUGUAAUUUGCAGAGGGCGCUUUGGCUUUGGCAGCGGUCCAAGUUCCUUGGAACAGGACGUCACAGAGGGUGAGAAUCCCGUACGUGGUCGCUAGCUAUCGCCGUGUAAAGCCCCUUCGACGAGUCGAGUUGUUUGGGAAUGCAGCUCUAAAUGGGAGGUAAAUUUCUUCUAAAGCUAAAUAUUGGCCAGAGACCGAUAGCGCACAAGUAGAGUGAUCGAAAGAUGAAAAGCACUUUGGAAAGAGAGUCAAACAGCACGUGAAAUUGUUGAAAGGGAAGCGCUUGCAGCCAGACUUGCUUGCAGUUGCUCAUCCGGGCUUUUGCCCGGUGCACUCUUCUGUAGGCAGGCCAGCAUCAGUUUGGGCGGUGGGAUAAAGGUCUCUGUCACGUACCUCUCUUCGGGGAGGCCUUAUAGGGGAGACGACAUACCACCAGCCUAGACUGAGGUCCGCGCAUCUGCUAGGAUGCUGGCGUAAUGGCUGUAAGCGGCCCGUCUUGAAACACGGACCAAGGAGUCUAACAUCUAUGCGAGUGUUUGGGUGUCAAGCCCGAGCGCGUAAUGAAAGUGAACGGAGGUGGGAACCCGCAAGGGUGCACCAUCGACCGAUCCUGAAGUUUUCGGAAGGAUUUGAGUAAGAGCAUGGCUGUUGGGACCCGAAAGAUGGUGAACUAUGCUUGAAUAGGGUGAAGCCAGAGGAAACUCUGGUGGAGGCUCGCAGCGGUUCUGACGUGCAAAUCGAUCGUCAAAUUUGGGCAUAGGGGCG